GACGAACGCUGGCGGCGUGCUUAACACAUGCAAGUCGAACGGAAAGGCCCUGCUUUUGUGGGGUGCUCGAGUGGCGAACGGGUGAGUAACACGUGAGUAACCUGCCCUUGACUUUGGGAUAACUUCAGGAAACUGGGGCUAAUACCGGAUAGGAGCUCCUGCUGCAUGGUGGGGGUUGGAAAGUUUCGGCGGUUGGGGAUGGACUCGCGGCUUAUCAGCUUGUUGGUGGGGUAGUGGCUUACCAAGGCUUUGACGGGUAGCCGGCCUGGGAGGGGGACCGGCCACGUGGGUCGUGCGCGACGCCCGAGCCUCGAAGGGGGGGCAAGGGGGGGAAAUGGGACCAAGGGGGGGGAGGCUUGGGGCGACAGCGCCGGGGGGGGGAUGGGGGCCUGGGGGUUGUAACCCUAUUUGGCCUGAGACGAAGGGGGAGUGACGGUAAGGGGAAAAGAAGCACCGGCUAACUACGUG
rnacentral:rRNA from 1 species